UCUGCAAGUGACGAUUAAACAGACAGGGACAUCAGAAAUUAUCUGUGUUGACUAAAGUCUAUAAUGGGAAUAUCUGAUGCAAU
rfam:Brassica rapa chromosome A2, whole genome shotgun sequence.